rnacentral:rRNA from 1 species
AACGUAGGGGGCGAGCGUUGCCCGGAUUCACUGGGCGUAAAGGGCGCGUAGGCGGUGCGGUAAGUCACCUGUGAAAACUCUGGGCUCAACUCAGAGCCUGCAGGCGAAACUGCCGUGCUUGAGUGUGGGAGAGGUGCGUGGAAUUCCCGGUGUAGCGGUGAAAUGCGCAGAUAUCAGGAGGAACACCGGUGGCGAAGGCGGUGGUCUGGGCCGGUACUGACGCUGAGGAGCGAAAGCGUGGGGAGCGAACAGG